GAUGAACGCUGGCGGCGUGCCUAAUACAUGCAAGUCGAGCGAAUGGAUUAAGAGCUUGCUCUUAUGAAGUUAGCGGCGGACGGGUGAGUAACACGUGGGUAACCUGCCCAUAAGACUGGGAUGACUCCGGGAAACCGGGGCUAAUACCGGAUAACAUUUUGAACCGCAUGGUUCGAAAUUGAAAGGCGGCUUGGGCUGUCACUUAUGGAUGGACCCGCGUCGCAUUAGCUAGUUGGUGAGGUAACGGCUCACCAAGGCAACGAUGCGUAGCCGACCUGAGAGGGUGAUCGGCCACACUGGGACUGGGACACGGCCCAGACUCCUACGGGAGGCAGCAGUAGGGAAUCUUCCGCAAUGGACGAAAGUCUGACGGAGCAACGCCGCGUGAGUGAUGAAGGCUUUCGGGUCGUAAAACUCUGUUGUUAGGGAAGAACAAGUGCUAGUUGAAUAAGCUGGCACCUUGACGGUACCUAACCAGAAAGCCACGGCUAACUACGUGCCAGCCGCCGCCGUAA
rnacentral:rRNA from 1 species